AGAUACAACCUGAAAAGCGAAUUCAGCUAAAUGAGGAGGACUACACUUCUGCCACCACCAGAACCACUGGAUCAAUCCCAGAAAUGUACUCAACAUCUGGAAUAUCUUCAAAUAGUUCACAGCAACCACUGGAACCAAUUAAACUUAGGUUUUUAUGAAUUCCGAGCAAACGCUGUGCUACUACUAGGGUACAUCCCCAGCCACCAACGUCAGGAAAAUACAUCCUAUGUGCCCAGAGUGCUUAAGGAGAAGCAGAAAUGUGAACUGAAGUUCCCCAGCCGACUCUUGAGACAUGUUUCUGGCUUUCAUUUCUAUUCACACACCAUUCCUGAAAUACAGACUUCUUGCAAACUGUCUUCUCCAGUUGGGUUUCAGCUCUGCAUAGGUAGAUCUUCUUGGUUCGCUUGGCAUUGGAGCACCUGAAGAGUACCUGAUGGGACAGAUAGAUAAAAUGCUAAGCAGAUGCAAAGGCGAAUUGCCUCAGCCUGUAGACUCUGAUUAUUUCUGUCCAUUCUCCUUGACUUUCUGCAUUUCAUGUAUUCAUCCAUUGUUAACUUUUAUUUUCUUUUGAUACACUGCACGACUUUUGCAAGGUGAUUUUGUCUUACCUGACAACUAACAAUUGUACAUAUUUAUUUGGUGGUACAUGCAUAUGCACUGUGAUUCCACAAUGAUCUAAUGAAACUUUAAUUAGCAUGCCUAGCAACCAUUCCUUGAGGUUCAGCCAUUUAAAAUCUCUGUCAGCUAGUUCGAAAUGUAUCACCCAUGCUUUCCUGGGUGUGCCUAUCCAAAUCACUUAUUUCUUGCAGUGGAAGGUUGAGAGCGACACAGGCUGAUGAGUUUUUAAAAUGUGGUCUGAAUUAUUGGGUGAUGCAAAUGCAGCCACUCUGUGUGGUCAAGAGUCUCAUUAUUUAGAUUCUAUGUUUGUGAAUUCAUCCACGUGAUUAAAAUUUCUUCAGACCUCUUCAGAGGGGGUUCACUAUGAA